GAGUUUGAUCCUGGCUCAGGAUGAACGCUGGCGGCGUGCCUAAUACAUGCAAGUCGAGCGAACGGACGAGAAGCUUGCUUCUCUGAUGUUAGCGGCGGACGGGUGAGUAACACGUGGAUAACCUACCUAUAAGACUGGGAUAACUUCGGGAAACCGGAGCUAAUACCGGAUAAUAUUUUGAACCGCAUGGUUCAAAAGUGAAAGACGGUCUUGCUGUCACUUAUAGAUGGAUCCGCGCUGCAUUAGCUAGUUGGUAAGGUAACGGCUUACCAAGGCAACGAUGCAUAGCCGACCUGAGAGGGUGAUCGGCCACACUGGAACUGAGACACGGUCCAGACUCCUACGGGAGGCAGCAGUAGGGAAUCUUCCGCAAUGGGCGAAAGCCUGACGGAGCAACGCCGCGUGAGUGAUGAAGGUCUUCGGAUCGUAAAACUCUGUUAUUAGGGAAGACAUAUGUGUAAGUAACUGUGCACAUCUUGACGGUACCUAAUCAGAAAGCCACGGCUAACUACGU
rnacentral:rRNA from 1 species